rnacentral:rRNA from 1 species
UACGUAGGGUGCAAGCGUUAAUCGGAAUUACUGGGCGUAAAACGUGCGCAGGCGGUUAUGCAAGACAGAUGUGAAAUCCCCGGGCUCAACCUGGGAACUGCAUUUGUGACUGCAUGGCUAGAGUACGGUAGAGGGGGAUGGAAUUCCGCGUGUAGCAGUGAAAUGCGUAGAUAUGCGGAGGAACACCGAUGGCGAAGGCAAUCCCCUGGACCUGUACUGACGCUCAUGCACGAAAGCGUGGGGAGCAAACAGG